UACUGCAGUACUCCCGCGCUGCACACCGCUGCUGCUCCCCAACCACGGCGCUAUGAUGGUGCUUGCUCGCCUGGUCGCCGCCUCGUCUCGCCCAAUCUUGAUAUAGUCCGGGGCGGCGCCGGCACCGCUCGACCGCGUCGUUGCCUCCUCUGCGUCAUGAGAAGCGCCACCAUUGCCUCCACCCCCACUGGGCAAGGAGCUCGAGGUGUUUGGGGGUUCGUGUUUCCUACACAGGCCAAAACACUAUUGGAGCCUUGGAGUUUGAAACCAGUCGUUUGGAGCAGAUCAGCUCAAAAGAGAUCCUUUGUACCAUUUGCAGACUACCCAUCUCCCUCUGGCCUGGAGUCUCGCUCGCCUCUGUUUUCCCCCUGUGGACACACAUGAGACUCAGAUCUUGGCUCGUCGUAGAGGAAUCGAUAGCAAGAAUCAACCAGAGAAAGGAUGUACACAAGCCUCACGCAUACACACAGUGCACAUCCAGGCCGUGCAGUACACCAUGACCCUCUCACCUUUGCCCAUGCCUGUUAUACGUGUGCAAAGCAUGCCAAUAGUGCCCAGCACAGGAGCUGCACCCAUGCUACAUGCCCUGCUUUAUUUGUUACAGUUCUACACAAGUGGAAACCCCAAGCUAAAUUAUAGAGAACAAAAAUAGCUCACAGUCAGAGAUCAGAUUGAAUGAGGACCGGUGCUCUAAUUGAUUCUUUUGCAAGGAGGGGUUUCAGUGUUCAAACAUAAUGCAUUUCCAUUUUCAGUUUGACCAAACUUGUAUGCGGAGUAAAAGGAGAAGGUGGGGGUAUAACGACAUAUCCGUGAUUACAUGGUCAAAAUACAGACCUAGGAUAUUUGAAUGUUUCCAUAUAAAUGUUAUCCUCUACCCGCAAAAUAAUAAUAUAAAUGUAGUCGUCUUAUAUUUCGUA